rnacentral:rRNA from 1 species
GAUGAACGCUGGCGGCGUGCCUAACACAUGCAAGUCGAACGGAGAUUACGGACGGAAGUUUUCGGAUGGAAGCCUGUAAUUCUUAGUGGCGGACGGGUGAGUAACGCGUGGGCAACCUGCCCUAUACAGGGGGAUAGCAGCUGGAAACGGCUGGUAAGACCGCAUAAGUCGGUUAAAUCGCAUGAUUUGAUCGGGAAAUGAGCAAUCAGGUAUAGGAUGGGCCCGCGUCCGAUUAGCCAGUUGGCAGGGUAAAAGCCUACCAAAGCGACGAUCGGUAGCCGGACUGAGAGGUCGGACGGCCACAUUGGGACUGAGACACGGCCCAAACUCCUACGGGAGGCAGCAGUGGGGGAUAUUGCACAAUGGAGGAAACUCUGAUGCAGCGACGCCGCGUGAGUGAAGAAGUAUUUCGGUAUGUAAAGCUCUAUCAGCAGGGAAGAUGAUGACGGUACCUGAAUAAGAAGCCCCGGCUAACUACGUG